rfam:Schistosoma curassoni strain Dakar, Senegal genome assembly, scaffold: SCTD_contig0000188
AUCCAGCUGACAAGUCCCACACAAGACGAAACGCGCUUCCUGGAU